rnacentral:tRNA from 1 species
GGCCUUGUAGUGGAAUUAAAGACGUCGUAUUGAAAUCUGAAGAUUCACGUUGUUGCUGAGGCUU